CCUACGGGUGACAGCAGUCGAGAAUCAUUCACAAUGGGGGAAACCCUGAUGGUGCGACGCCGCGUGGGGGAAUGAAGGUCUUCGGAUUGUAAACCCCUGUCAUGUGGGAGCAAAUUAAAAAGAUAGUACCACAAGAGGAAGAGACGGCUAACUCUGUGCCAGCAGCCGCGGUAAUACAGAGGUCUCAAGCGUUGUUCGGAAUCACUGGGCGUAAAGCGUGCGUAGGCUGUUUCGUAAGUCGUGUGUGAAAGGCCCGGGCUCAACCCGCGGACGGCACAUGAUACUGCGAGACUAGAGUAAUGGAGGGGGAACCGGAAUUCCCGGUGUAGCAGUGAAAUGCGUAGAGAUCGAGAGGAACACUCGUGGCGAAGGCGGGUUCCUGGACAUUAACUGACGCUGAGGCACGAAGGCCAGGGGAGCGAAAGGGAUUAGAUACCCGUGUAGUC
rnacentral:rRNA from 1 species